rnacentral:rRNA from 1 species
AAUCAACGCUGGCGGCGUGCCUCAGACAUGCAAGCCGAACGAUUAAAGCUCUCUUCGGAGAGUGCAUAGAGUGGCGCACGGGUGAGUAACACGUAAGUAAUCUACCUUCGAGUGGGGAAUAACGUCCGGAAACGGACGCUAAUACCGCAUAAUGCAGCGGCAUCACAAGAUGACAGUUGUUAAAGAUUUAUCGCUUGAAGAGGAGCUUGCGGCAGAUUAGCUAGUUGGUAAGGUAAUGGCUUACCAAGGCUACGAUCUGUAACCGGUCUUAGAGGACGGUCGGUCACACUGACACUGAAUAACGGGUCAGACUCCUACGGGAGGCAGCAGUCGGGAAUUUUGGGCAAUGGGCGAAAGCCUGACCCAGCAACGCCGCGUGAAGGAUGAAGUAUUUCGGUAUGUAAACUUCGAAAGAAUGGGAAGAAUAAAUGACGGUACCAUUUAUAAGGUCCGGCUAACUACGUGCCAGCAGCCGCGGUAACAC